GUAGUGUUUUUGAUUCCAUAAAGGGACAACACUUGAAACACUUGCAGGAGUGGUUUCCCUGGUAGAUCCAGAGGUGGAUCAAUCAAGGCCUUUCCUAUGACCAUAA